GCCAGAAAAGCGUCCCGAAUAUCUUCAUAGGAGGCGUACACGUCGGGGGUAACUCAGACUU
rnacentral:tRNA from 1 species